CCGAGUUUACAACUCCCAAACCCACUGUGAACCAUACAACUGUUUGUUGCCUUCGGCGGGGCCUCACGCCCCGGGUGCGAGCAGCCCCAGAGGACCCAAACAAACUCUUUGAUUUUGAUCUAGGAUUUUACUUCUGAGUGAUAUACAAAAUAAAUCA
rnacentral:misc_RNA from 1 species